rnacentral:rRNA from 1 species
UACGUAGGCAGCAAGCGUUGUUCGGAGUUACUGGGCGUAAAGGGUGCGUAGGCGGCUUUUUAAGUUUGGUGUGAAAUCUCCCGGCUCAACUGGGAGGGUGCGCCGAAUACUGAGAGGCUAGAGUGUGGGAGAGGAAAGUGGAAUUCCUGGUGUAGCGGUGAAAUGCGUAGAUAUCAGGAGGAACACCUGUGGUGUAGACGGCUUUCUGGACCAUAACUGACGCUGAGACACGAAAGCGUGGGUAGCAAACAGG